UGGGGAGAAGAUCCUGAGCUCUGGGAAACAAUGCAGCCCGGAAGAUUCUAGCCUCGGGAGACCCUAAGGGGAGGGGGCCCAGCCAGCCUGUGUCUGGACCCCUGACCCACAGAAACUGUGAGGUAAUCCAUGUAUGUUGAGUAAGUUUGCAGUCAUUGGUUCCAUAGUGUGGAACAUUCAUCAAAGCACCUUAGGCCUUUCUCUGCUACUGUAACAUAAUACUAUGGACUGGAUAAAUUAAAAAGUGAUUAUUUCUUACAGUUCUGGAGGCUGGGAAAUCCAAGAUCAAGGGGCUGCAUCUGAUGAGGGCCUUCUUGCUGUGUCAUGGCGUGGCAGAGAAGGCAAGGGAGCACAGGAGACAGAGAGGGGGCUGAACCUGUAGCACACUGGCUCUUGAGGUAACUGACCCCCUCCUGAGACAGCAGCAUGGGUCCAGCCAUGAGGAUGGUCCCCCUGCCCCCAACUUGCUUAUCUCUUAGAGGCUCUCACCUGUUACAACGCCAGCGAAACGUCGGCUUGAGUUUUGGAGGGGUGUUGGAACCACAGUGGUCAGGAAAGAAGAUCCCUUCAGCAAGUGGUCCGUGGCCAUCAACGUGAAAGCCACCAAGUGACUAGAAAAAAACCACUGAAUAAAGUCUCUAUGACCUUGGAAAAGGAAAUGAUUUCCUAGAGAGGACUCAAAAUAGCGACCAUUCAAGGAAAAAAAUGUAAAUGAGAUUGGAGCCAAAUAAAAUUUUGUUAAGUGAAAAUCAUCACAGAAAAAAAAAUACGCAAGUCAAGGCUGGGAGACAAUGUCUGCAACACAAAAAAUGGACAAAGGACUUGGAUCCAACAUAUACAAAAUGACCAAAUCAAAGAAAUCAAUUAAAAAGAAAACAAAAGAAGACGUACAAAUGGCCAGUAAGCCCCUGAGUCCAUGACGGAGUGCCUCACCUCAUUAGUCAUCAGGAAAAAUGCAAAUUUAAACCACAAGGAGACACCACUGCACACCAGUGAAAAAGACAGUGCCAGAGGCUAAACAGAGAGGCUGACAACAACCCAUGGUGGAGAGGCUGCAGAGCAACUAGAAGGCUCUCAUGGCACUAAGGGGGUGUAAGUAGCACGGUCAUUGCAGAAAACCCU
rnacentral:lncRNA from 1 species